rnacentral:rRNA from 1 species
AAGCCCGCUCGCCGGAAGACCAAGGGUUCCUGUCCAACGUUAAUCGGGGCAGGGUGAGUCGACCCCUAAGGCGAGGCCGAAAGGCGUAGUCGAUGGGAAACAGGUUAAUAUUCCUGUACUUGGUGUUACUGCGAAGGGGGGACGGAGAAGGCUAUGUUGGCCGGGCGACGGUUGUCCCGGUUUAAGCGUGUAGGCUGGUUUUCCAGGCAAAUCCGGAAAACCAAGGCUGAGGCGUGAUGACGAGGCACUACGGUGCUGAAGCGACAAAUGCCCUGCUUCCAGGAAAAGCCUCUAAGCAUCAGGUAACAUCAAAUCGUACCCCAAACCGACACAGGUGGUCAGGUAGAGAAUACCAAGGCGCUUGAGAGAACUCGGGUGAAGGAACUAGGCAAAAUGGUGCCGUAACUUCGGGAGAAGGCACGCUGAUAUGUAGGUGAAGCGACUUGCUCGUGGAGCUGAAAUCAGUCGAAGAUACCAGCUGGCUGCAACUGUUUAUUAAAAACACAGCACUGUGCAAACACGAAAGUGGACGUAUACGGUGUGACGCCUGCCCGGUGCCGGAAGGUUAAUUGAUGGGGUUAGCGGUAACGCGAAGCUCUUGAUCGAAGCCCCGGUAAACGGCGGCCGUAACUAUAACGGUCCUAAGGUAGCGAAAUUCCUUGUCGGGUAAGUUCCGACCUGCACGAAUGGCGUAAUGAUGGCCAGGCUGUCUCCACCCGAGACUCAGUGAAAUUGAACUCGCUGUGAAGAUGCAGUGUACCCGCGGCAAGACGGAAAGACCCCGUGAACCUUUACUAUAGCUUGACACUGAACAUUGAGCCUUGAUGUGUAGGAUAGGUGGGAGGCUUUGAAGUGUGGACGCCAGUCUGCAUGGAGCCGACCUUGAAAUACCACCCUUUAAUGUUUGAUGUUCUAACGUUGGCCCGUAAUCCGGGUUGCGGACAGUGUCUGGUGGGUAGUUUGACUGGGGCGGUCUCCUCCUAAAGAGUAACGGAGGAGCACGAAGGUUGGCUAAUCCUGGUCGGACAUCAGGAGGUUAGUGCAAUGGCAUAAGCCAGCUUGACUGCGAGCGUGACGGCGCGAGCAGGUGCGAAAGCAGGUCAUAGUGAUCCGGUGGUUCUGAAUGGAAGGGCCAUCGCUCAACGGAUAAAAGGUACUCCGGGGAUAACAGGCUGAUACCGCCCAAGAGUUCAUAUCGACGGCGGUGUUUGGCACCUCGAUGUCGGCUCAUCACAUCCUGGGGCUGAAGUAGGUCCCAAGGGUAUGGCUGUUCGCCAUUUAAAGUGGUACGCGAGCUGGGUUUAGAACGUCGUGAGACAGUUCGGUCCCUAUCUGCCGUGGGCGCUGGAGAACUGAGGGGGGCUGCUCCUAGUACGAGAGGACCGGAGUGGACGCAUCACUGGUGUUCGGGUUGUCAUGCCAAUGGCACUGCCCGGUAGCUAAAUGCGGAAGAGA